rnacentral:misc_RNA from 1 species
CAGAGUGACGGUUUCGCAAGAGACCAGUUACCCGACCUUUUGUCAUUGUGCGUGGGAGGACGGGAGGAAGCGAGGGCGGAACGGACCGUUGUCUGGGGUCAACCCCGAGCGGGCCGAGCCGUCCCUGGCUCUGAACGAACGACCGCGAUUGAUAACUUCGGCGGAAGUGGUAGGCUCUGACCUGCCCGCCGCCGGCCGUAAUCCACACUCUUGUGAGAAUCUGAAGUCUGAUUAUUAUGAAAUGAAAAAAGCA